GACGUAGGGUGCAAGCGUUGUCCGGAUUUAUUGGGCGUAAAGAGCUCGUAGGCGGCUUGUUGCGUCGACUGUGAAAACCCGCGGCUUAACCGCGGGCUUGCAGUUGAUACGGGCAGGCUAGAGUUCGGUAGGGGAGACUGGAAUUCCUGGUGUAGCGGUGAAAUGCGCAGAUAUCAGGAGGAACACCGGUGGCGAAGGCGGGUCUCUGGGCCACUACUGACGCUGAGAAGCGAAAGCGUGGGGAGCGAACAGG
rnacentral:rRNA from 1 species